ACACUACCUUAUUUUCCAACAGUUAUGGCAGGAAAACCUGGUUCGGGAAAUCGUAACCGAACACCAUACUGACACCACUUUUUGUUCACCAUUAUCCCUACUAAACCUCUUGAAGCUUUAACCACGAAAUGCGUACCACCUGAAACCAUUUUCGGCGAAGAAAUACCAACUCCGACGAUCAUUACGUAUUUUCUGACGACGUCUCUCGUAACCGAAACAUGAUUCCGACCAAGGUUCACAGGAUACCUUGGGAGGGAUCAAGAGAGUAGACCAAUGCUUAGGAUUAAUCUGAAGAUGCCAAUUAACUUUAUAUUUCCUGAAUAAUCUGGAUUAAUAGUAUGUAGACCAAUGCUUAGGAUUAAUCUGAAGAUCACCGGAGACUUCUUCCUCGAAGAAAAUCAAGCAUAAGAAAAAGAAGAAGAGCAACAAGAGGAACAAAAAGAAGAACUGAUUCGGCAACAAUGCAACCGCACCUACAUACUAUCUCUAUCUCUUAGUUUCGUACAUAUGUUUUCAGUUCAGUAGAUAAGAAUAUCUCCGAUACUAAGUGUGUCCUUAGUCAUCCUUUGCUGUCACAUCAUCUGCCACAUAAUAUCCUUACAAAUCCUUGAAAGCCUCACUUUCAUCUCCAACCCUACAAAUAUCCUUACCCUUCUUAAUUUUCACCUCAUCACCUACCGAUUACACACAAUAUUUAAAUAAAACUUUUUUUUUUCACUUUGGACCCACCAUAUCGCAUGAACCGAGGAAAAGCUAUGCCCUUGUGUAAGGGCAUCCAACCUACGGGCUUAUCGAGAUGGAUGAGCUUCAAUGGUAAGGGCUUCUAAGGGCCUGUUCUCCAAGGGCUUAUUGGAGAUAGACUAAUAAUACUACUACUAGAUCUAGUUUUUUUACAUACUGUUGGUGAAUGUUGAAAUCCUUACCAUAUGCUCGAUAUGAUGAUUACAACGUUCAUGAUUAUAUGCUAUAUAAGUACUGAAUUCAGUUUACCUCACAUCACUUGUCAAAUCACAACCAACAUAGAGAGAGAGAGAGAGAGAAUGGGCGACGUAUCAAGGUGGUAUUGCUGGAUUCGCGGAUGUAACUCCUAUUUUCGGACGUAUGAUGAGCUAAUGCAACACGAGAAGAGUGGAUGUGCGCAGCGACUGUUCAACGAACUUGAACGUCAGGAGAAAUACAGGAAGAUGAAAGCAAACAAAGCCAAAAAAGAUGCGAAGAGAGGCGUACCUCCCCCAGCUUCUCAGAUCCCGGCAGCUCCUCCAGCUUCUCCGGUUCCGGUUCCGGCACCUGCUCCUGUUUCUCAGACUGCCGCCGCACCUUCCGCCGCAUCUUCUUCCUCGAACAACAAGCAUAAGAAGAUGAAGAAGAACAACAAGAGAAACAAAAAGAAGAAGAACUGAAUCGGCAACAAUGCAACCUGCUAUCUCUAUCUCUUAGUUUCGUACGUAUGUUUUCAGUUCAGUAGAUAAUAAUACUACUACUAGAUCUAGUUUUUUUACAUACUGUUGGUGAAUACUGUUGGUGAAUAUUGAAAUCCUUACAAUAUGCUCGAUAUGAUGAUUACAACGUUCAUGAUUA